rnacentral:rRNA from 1 species
CGUCAAGUCAUCAUGGCCCUUACGCCUAGGGCUACACACGUACUACAAUGGCGCGCACAAAGGGCAGCGAUACCGCGAGGUGGAGCCAAUCCCAAAAAACGCGUCCCAGUUCGGACUGCAGUCUGCAACUCGACUGCACGAAGUCGGAAUCGCUAGUAAUCCCGGAUCAGCAUGCCGGGGUGAAUGCGUUCCCGGGCCUU